AACGAACGCUGGCGGCAGGCCUAACACAUGCAAGUCGAACGCCCCGCAAGGGGAGUGGCGGACGGGUGAGUAACACGUGGGAAUUUUCCUCAAGGUACGGAACAACUCAGGGAAACUUGGGCUAAUACCGUAUGAUGCAGAGAUGCCAAAGAUUUAUCGCCUUGGGAUAAGCCCGCGUCAGAUUAGGUAGUUGGUGGGGUAAUGGCCUACCAAGCCUGUGAUCUGUAGCUGGUCUGAGAGGACGAUCAGCCACAUUGGGACUGAGACACGGCCCAAACUCCUACGGGAGGCAGCAGUGGGGAAUCUUGCGCAAUGGGCGAAAGCCUGACGCAGCCAUGCCGCGUGAAUGAUGAAGGUCUUAGGAUUGUAAAGUUCUUUAGCCUGUGACGAUGAUGACGGUAACAGGAGAAUAAGCCCCGGCUAACUUCGUGCCAGCCGCCGCGGUAACAC
rnacentral:rRNA from 1 species